rnacentral:rRNA from 1 species
UACAGAGGUCCCAAGCGUUGUUCGGAUUUAUUGGGCGUAAAGAGCUCGUAGGCGGUUCGGCAAGUCGGAUGUGAAAUCUCCACGCUCAAUGUGGAGGGGCCAUUCGAGACUGCCGUGACUAGAGUCCGGUAGGGGAGUGUGGAAUUCCCGGUGUAGCGGUGAAAUGCGCAGAGAUCGGGAGGAACACCCGUAGCGAAGGCGGCACUCUGGGCCGUGACUGACGCUGAGACGCGAAAGCGUGGGGAGCGAACAGG